rnacentral:rRNA from 1 species
UACAGGGGGGGCAAGCGUUGUUCGGAAUUACUGGGCGUAAAGGGCCAGUAGGCGGCCAACUAAGUCCGACGUGAAAUCCCCAAGCUUAACUUGGGAACUGCGUCGGAUACUGGAUGGCUUGAAUUCGGGAGAGGGAUGCAGAAUUCCAGGUGUAGCGGUGAAAUGCGUAGAUAUCUGGAGGAAUACCGGUGGCGAAGGCGGCGACCUGGACAAGUACUGACACUCAACUACGAAAGCGUGGGGAGCAAACAGG